UCAUUAUCAGUAUCACUCGCUUUAAAACUCGUACAUAUAUAUAAACACACUGAUAUUCACACACUUGCGUAUUCUUCUUUAUUUACAGAAAACAGAUUAAAGUAUUCAGUUCAGUUUAGUUGAGACUUAUGCUUAAAGAACUGCAGUAAUGUUUUUUAUUAAAUGCAAGCGAAAUAUUAAAAUAUGCGCAAACAUUUUGGAUCUAAGACAUAAAUUUGCUAUAGCAUAAAUAUUUAUUAUUAAAAUUCGAUAAUAUUCGUAUCGCCAAUUUUGGAACUUACAAUGGAAUAUAAAUAUAAAUAUUUAUGACUAUAUGGAUACCAUUCUAAAUCGUAGCCAGUGGAAAAGGUUAAUUAAAAUUGUGUUUCCUGCAGUGACUCACAGACGAAUUAAAACCUUAUCGAGGGAUUGCACUUGAAGUAUCGGAAGAAUCUUCUGUACUGCGCUUUGUUUUGGUUAAACCGAGAUUCUCUGGAAAAAACUUUCACAUAAGCUCAAAAUUCUUUGAGUAUACACUAGGACUAUUUCAUCAACUUAACUAAACUUUACUUAUAUGGGGAAAAAUGUAAAUUAUUAGGCUGUAUAUACUUGAUCUGUAUCAACAGCCGUUUCUUUGUAUGUUUAUAUAACUUCGAUCUCAGAGACUAUAAAAAGUAGUUUCUUCCAAUUUAGAAUCGGUAUUUAAUAAUAUUUAAAGUUGACAAAAGUGUGCAUUA